UACGAACCGUACAAACGUUAUUCGGAAUCACUGGGCUUAAAGGGUGCGUAGGCGGCCAUGUAAGUGAGGUGUGAAAUCCCCGGGCUCAACCUGGGAACUGCAUUCAAAACUGUCGAGCUAGAGUAUGGUAGAGGGUGGUGGAAUUUCCUGUGUAGCGGUGAAAUGCGUAGAUAUAGGAAGGAACACCAGUGGCGAAGGCGACCACCUGGACUGAUACUGACACUGAGGUGCGAAAGCGUGGGGAGCGAAUGGG
rnacentral:rRNA from 1 species